AAAAAAAAAAGUUAAAGGAUUUGAAACAUCCUAGACAUAUUUCCCACAUUUUUAAAAUUACUGAAACAUGAAUAGCAUUUUUCAGUUUGGGGGUUGUAUUUAUUUGUUAUCUUUACUCAAGACAAUUGCCUCUGCCUUUCUCCAAGUUUCUGAAAUUCUUACGGGAUGAGGGAAUUUCUUUCCACGCAGUCUUUUAUAAAUCCCUUUUGCUUCAGGAUACCAAUGUGAUCCUGACAGAGCUGCUGAAAGCUCUCAUUUAAGUCUUUAAAAUCAGCUUGCUGGCUGAUGGUCUCAGUGGCUCGUCUACACAUUCGCCAGAUCUCCUGAUCUGUGAUGGACCCCCUCAGUUAGGUGUCACCUUCUGCAACCUACUCAUACUUUCAUGCUUUCUCCCCAGGAAUUUCCUUCCUAUGUGUCAAGACCAUGUGCUUCUUCUCAGUGUCUAGUGAAGCUGCUGAACUCUGCUCUUAGCCCCACAAUCUAUACAGCCAAGCUGUGCCUCCCCUGUGCCUAGGUUCAUCCCAAAACCAGCAGUGGAGGAGGAGAUGGAUACUGGUGUCCAGUCCAGGACUGACUCAGAAUCGCUCUUCAGGUCCAUAGGAGAACUGGAGUCUAGGUGCACUGACUAAGGCCCUGAUGACCUUCACUCAAGUGUCGCUCCCUUCAGCUCCAUCUCCUGGGUGAACCUUGGACCUGUGUUUCCAGUUCUGUUCCUGGCACCAUCUCCUGCUGCUCCUGCCCGAAUUACCUGGGUGGACCUUGUACCUGGUUCGGUUCAUCACCUCACCUCAUGUGGGUGUGCCCAUUAGUGUCUGCCCUGCUCUUGUGCUGCAGGACUCUAUCCAGGCUGGUGAGCUUGGAUUUUGGCUCUGAUCACCCCUAGAUCAUCUUGCCAUGGGACAGCCCAGCUCUCCUGGUCCCUGAGGCUGUGGUAGAAUUGCUGCCCAGAAAACUGGCAGCAGGAGGACUCAAGGGAGAAGAAAGCCAUCAGGCAAAGGCCAGGGACAGAGGUAUUCACAUGGAUAGGGGAGGAGUAACCAUGUUUUUCUUGGUGAGGAAGGUAGUGCUAGAAAGAGCUUAUUUUGGUUUCCUGUCUCUUGGCUGACCUAGUGGGAGAAGGAGCAGAGCUAGCCGUGCUUAGGCAACACUGAGUACUGAAAACUGCUCAUGUGAGUGGCUUUGUGGAAGUAUUGCUGAAGCUGCCACACAGGCUUUUCUGUCAUAUUCCUGGGCAAGCAAAUGGCAGUGACUGAGACCUUCCAUCAUCUGGGUGAAGAGAGCUGUCUAGCAGCGAAACCACAGUCUCCAAGCUAAGGCCAUUAAACAUUUUCUUUCCCUCACAAAGGAAGUGUAGAGGGGGAAAGUGGGCUGAGGAAAAAAUUAUCUGUGUGGGGUCAGAGAAAAAGCCAUGGAGGUUCACUUGAGUCUGGGGUCACUGUCAGUGAAUUUCUAGAUAUAAUGUUACACUUGACUGGGGUGACUCUAAAGGUAAGUUCCUUUGUCAUUCCUAUACAAAAACUGACACUUAUGUAGGAUGGUUUUACUUGCAAAUUCAGCGUUCGAAAAUGAGCCCACAGAAUGGGAACAUGUCGAAACUGCUUGAAAUAAACUUAGUUGUAACAACAGA